CCCUGGGAGAGGCGUUGCCGUGGCAACGGGCCGGGCGCCCGCCAGCUGCGGGUGAGCUCACUGAGCGCCGGCGGGCGGGGGGCGGCCCGGCUCAGAGCCGCCGCCGCCAGAGGAAGGGGCCGCCCUCCACUCGCCCACGGCGGCCAGGCGGCGGGCACGCGAGCGCGGGGAGCGGGGAGAGGCCCGGCCGACAAGAGCGCGGGGGACUGCGGGCCAUGGCGCCCCGGGCCCCCGCCGCGCGCCGCCCCCGCCCGCCCGAGCGCCCCCGAGCUGCGCCUCGGAGCCCGCGGAGCCGCGGCCAGCCAGGAGGAUAGAAAAACAUCAGAGAGGAG
ensembl:lncRNA